AUCAGCUUGUUGGUGAGGUAAUGGCUCACCAAGGCGUCGACGGGUAGCCGGCCUGAGAGGGUGACCGGCCACACUGGGACUGAGACACGGCCCAGACUCCUACGGGAGGCAGCAGUGGGGAAUAUUGCACAAUGGGCGGAAGCCUGAUGCAGCAACGCCGCGUGAGGGAUGACGGCCUUCGGGUUGUAAACCUCUUUUAGCAGGGAAGAAGCGAAAGUGACGGUACCUGCAGAAAAAGCGCCGGCUAACUACGUGCCAGCAGCCGCGGUAAUACGUAGGGCGCAAGCGUUAUCCGGAAUUAUUGGGCGUAAAGAGCUCGUAGGCGGUUUGUCGCGUCUGCUGUGAAAUCCCGAGGCUCAACCUCGGGCCUGCAGUGGGUACGGGCAGACUAGAGUGCGGUAGGGGAGAUUGGAAUUCCUGGUGUAGCGGUGGAAUGCGCAGAUAUCAGGAGGAACACCGAUGGCGAAGGCAGAUCUCUGGGCCGUAACUGACGCUGAGGAGCGAAAGGGUGGGGAGCAAACAGGCUUAGAUACCCUGGUAGUCCACCCCGUAAACGUUGGGAACUAGUUGUGGGGUCCAUUCCACGGAUUCCGUGACGCAGCUAACGCAUUAAGUUCCCCGCCUGGGGAGUACGGCCGCAAGGCUAAAACUCAAAGGAAUUGACGGGGACCCGCACAAGCGGCGGAGCAUGCGGAUUAAUUCGAUGCAACGCGAAGAACCUUACCAAGGCUUGACAUAUACGAGAACGGGCCAGAAAUGGUCAACUCUUUGGACACUCGUAAACAGGUGGUGCAUGGUUGUCGUCAGCUCGUGUCGUGAGAUGUUGGGUUAAGUCCCGCAACGAGCGCAACCCUCGUUCUAUGUUGCCAGCACGUAAUGGUGGGAACUCAUGGGAUACUGCCGGGGUCAACUCGGAGGAAGGUGGGGAUGACGUCAAAUCAUCAUGCCCCUUAUGUCUUGGGCUUCACGCAUGCUACAAUGGCCGGUACAAAGGGCUGCAAUACCGUGAGGUGGAGCGAAUCCCAAAAAGCCGGUCCCAGUUCGGAUUGAGGUCUGCAACUCGACCUCAUGAAGUCGGAGUCGCUAGUAAUCGCAGAUCAGCAACGCUGCGGUGAAUACGUUCCCGGGUCUUGUACACACCGCCCGUCAAGUCAUGAAAGUCGGUAACACCUGAAGCCGGUGGCCUAACCCUUGUGGAGGGAGCCGUCGAAGUGAUAGUA
rnacentral:rRNA from 1 species